CUUUUCUUGUUAAUUUUAUGAAGUAUAACCUGCCCAAUGAAUAAUUAAAUGGCCGCGGUAUUAUGACCGUGCAAAGGUAGCAUAAUCAAUAGUCUUUUAAUUGAAGGCUGGAAUGAAUGGUUGGACGAAAUAAUUACUGUCUUAGAAUUAUUAAAUUAGAAUUUAAUUAUUAAGUUAAAAAGCUUAAAUUUUUUUUUGGGACGAGAAGACCCUAUAGAGUUUAAUAUUAAUAAGAUUUAUAAGUUGUUAUUUAAUAUAAUAAAUUAUAUUAAUAUUUAGUUGGGGUGACUAGAAGAUAAAAAUAACUCUUUAAUAAUCAUAUAUAAAUUACUUAAUUUAUUAAUGAUCCAAUAUUAUUGAUUAUAAGACUAAAUUACCUUAGGGAUAACAGCGUAAUUUUCUUUAAGAGUUCAAAUCAACAAGGAAGUUUGCGACCUCGAUGUUGGAUUAAGAAAUAUAUUUGGUGCAGAAGCUGAAAAUAUAAAGUCUGUUCGACUUUUAAAUUCUUACA
rnacentral:rRNA from 1 species